rnacentral:rRNA from 1 species
UACGUAGGGUGCAAGCGUUAAUCGGAAUUACUGGGCGUAAAGCGUGCGCAGGCGGUUAUGCAAGACAGAUGUGAAAUCCCUCAGCUUAACUGGGGAACUGCGUCUGAUACUGGAUGGCUUGGAUUUGGGAGAGGGAUGCGGAAUUCCAGGUGUAGCGGUGAAAUGCGUAGAUAUCUGGAGGAACACCGGUGGCGAAGGCGGCAUCCUGGACCAACAUUGACGCUGAGGAGCGAAAGCCAGGGGAGCAAACGGG